GGCGGCCAUCACAACGAAGUACAUGUCUAAAGCAGGGCGAACAGACAUGCUGAGCCUCCUGGCUUUGGGCUGGAACAAAAGGAAAGUGGAACAACUGGGCCGCACUUUGAGCCAGAGAUAUCUAAAGAUCAUAAGGAUCCUUAGAGAACA